rnacentral:rRNA from 1 species
CACGUAGGGCGCAAGCGUUGUCCGGAAUUAUUGGGCGUAAAGAGCUCGUAGGUGGCCUGUCGCGUCGGCUGUGAAAACUCGGGGCUCAACUCCGAGCUUGCAGUCGAUACGGGCAGGCUAGAGUUCGGUAGGGGAGACUGGAAUUCCUGGUGUAGCGGUGAAAUGCGCAGAUAUCAGGAGGAACACCGAUGGCGAAGGCAGGUCUCUGGGCCGAUACUGACGCUGAGGAGCGAAAGCGUGGGGAGCGAACAGG